rnacentral:tRNA from 1 species
GCAGCGGUGGUUCAGUGGUAGAAUUCUUGCCUUCCAUGCUAGAGAGCUGGGUUCUAUUCCCAGCUAAUGGA